AUAAAUCCCCACUUUAUUCUCCUAACUCAGUCUAGCCUCUGUUCUAAGUAGCCACUCCAAGGCAUCAUGGUCCCAUCUUCCU